rnacentral:rRNA from 1 species
UGCAGUCGAGCGGAAACGAAGGUAGCUUGCUACCAGGCGUCGAGCGGCGGACGGGUGAGUAACGCGUAGGAAUCUGCCUAGUAGAGGGGGACAACAUGUGGAAACGCAUGCUAAUACCGCAUACGCCCUGAGGGGGAAAGGAGGGGAUCACUUGUGACCUUCCGCUAUUAGAUGAGCCUGCGUGAGAUUAGCUAGUUGGUAGGGUAAAGGCCUACCAAGGCGACGAUCUCUAACUGGUCUGAGAGGAUGACCAGUCACACUGGGACUGAGACACGGCCCAGACUCCUACGGGAGGCAGCAGUGGGGAAUAUUGGACAAUGGGCGCAAGCCUGAUCCAGCCAUGCCGCGUGUGUGAAGAAGGCCUUAGGGUUGUAAAGCACUUUCAGGGGUGAGGAAGGGUGAGUCGCUAAUAUCGACUUAUCCUGACGUUAGCCCCAGAAGAAGCACCGGCUAACUCUGUGCCAGCAGCCGCGGUAAUACAGAGGGUGCAAGCGUUAAUCGGAAUUACUGGGCGUAAAGCGCGCGUAGGUGGUUUGUUAAGUCUGAUGUGAAAUCCCAGGGCUCAACCUUGGAAUGGCACCGGAUACUGGCUAGCUAGAGUAUGGUAGAGGGGUGUGGAAUUUCCUGUGUAGCGGUGAAAUGCGUAGAUAUAGGAAGGAACAUCAGUGGCGAA